rnacentral:lncRNA from 1 species
CUUCCCUGGAUUGGCUGCGCAAAACCAGACUCAGACCAAUGAGAGUAAAGAGCGGGACAUGGAAGUAGCUCGACAACAACAUCCGACCAUGUCAAAAAUCAUUAGCUAGUUAGCCAACCAAAUAUAUAUUCACGUUACCAGCAUAUGAAAAAUAUUCUCAAUAACUUGCUAGCUAGCUGACUCACUUUACUAUGAGGUGAAAAUGCUUGUUCUUGUUGCAUACUAACGUUAAUUGUCAUAAUCAUGUCGCUAGGUGCGUCAAGUAUGUGUCCCACUCAGAAAAGGACACUCUCGUGUCUGCUCGCAGGGCGUGUUGGGAAGAGGCCAAAGCAGAAGAAUGUACAGGAGCUGCAGGAGGCAGCAGUCCAGCUGCUGAACAGACACCAGAACCUCUCAGAUCUGUUUCUGGAGGUGGGGGUGAGUGAAUGAGUCCAGUCUAGACUGGGAUGGAGUCAGUGGACUGGUAGCAAGGGGCACUAUAACAUUUUGUGCCCUAAAUUAGACCUGUCAGAUUUAGACAAGUUACUUACUUUAUCCUUCCUCUAGAGUCCAAAUCCUUGCAAUUUAAUUUGCAAGGAGUACUCUGGACAGCAAAAAGGAGCCAGUCAAAGUCCCUCACCUACAAUUGGGGGUUCACUUCUGGGUGAGUUUUCAGGAUAUCAGGAUAUCUUUUCCAUCAAGGUAAAUACUUUCAAUGUGUCAAUGGUGUAUGUACUAGAAUGCUACACUGUGAGAUAAUUAUGUAGAAAUUGAUAUGCGUGUUUUCAGUGAAUGAGUUGAGGAGGAAGGCUGGGGAGCUGGGGGUCCCGGUGGCAGCCCUGUCAGUGAAGAUGGUGGUAGAAAGACUGUUGGACCUGACCGGCCAUAUCAAAGGGGACCGAGAGCAAGUGUUGCUCAAUUCCACUCAAAGGGUCCAGCUCUCUGUGCUUUUCCAAUCAACCCGUGAGCUUCUCUCUCUUGAAGCCUUCUGCUCUAAACUCUUCUGGCAGGAGUACUGGAGGGAUCAGGUGAGUGUGUGUGCACACACCAGACUCUUGUCUUUAUACUMCCAAUGCCAUACCUUCGGG